rnacentral:rRNA from 1 species
GUGAACCUGCGGAGGGAUCAUUACCGAGUGCGGGCUCCGGCCCGACCUCCAACCCUUUGUGAACCAACUUGUUGCUUCGGGGGCGACCCUGCCGUUCGCGGCGGCGGCGCCCCCGGGGACCCUCAAACACUGCAUUUCUUUACGUCGGAGUCUCAAGUAAAUUGAACAAAACUUUCAACAACGGAUCUCUUGGUACUGGCAUCGAUGAAGAACGCAGCGAAAUGCGAUAAGUAAUGUGAAUUGCAGAAUUCAGUGAAUCAUCGAAUCUUUGAACGCACAUUGCGCCCCCUGGUAUUCCGGGGGGCAUGCCUGUUCGAGCGUCAUUUCACCACUCAAGCCUGGCUUGGUAUUGGGCGUCGCGGGUCUCCGCGCGCCUUAAAGUCUCCGGCUGAGCUGUCCCAUUCCCAGCGUUGUGACACACGUUCGCUAUGGAUUGGGGCGGCCGCGGCCGUUAAAUCUCUUCACAAGGUUGACCUCGGAUCAGGUAGGGAUACCCGCUGAAC